GUGACAGUUCUCACAACAAUUCUUACACAUGAUGAAAUGCAAUGUUUUCACUGUAUGGAGAGCUGCCUGAUUAGGAAACUACUCUAGGACUAGUCUAGUAACCAAAACCAAAACACGCUAAUGAGAACGCAGAAGAAGAAGAAAAGAAAAAUAUGGUACGAACACUGAAGGCUGGAAGCCAUCAUCUAGCAACAGGCAACUGUACCAUCCUCCACUUACAUGACUUUUAACACCAUCGACCUUCACACUGUCAAGACUAGACUCGCGCUAAGUGGGUGGGAGCAUGCAUUCAUCACUUCUGUGUCUGCGUGUGUUUAUUGAUACAAGUUUGGAUACAACAGAAAGAACUAAACCCACAGACUGACAUGAAUGUGUUGUUGAAUAGUUGCAUCGAGACGUGGACAGAUUAGCACAGAGACAGUACACGCUUUGCUCAUAGAAACAAUUCAAUCAAAAGUGUAAGUCAUCUGAAUAAUAAACUUGUGACCCAGCUACUUCCAGACAUUUUAUUCUUUCUUUUUAUUUCCCCACCAAUGGUCACUACUGGACCAAACUAAGAGACUGCUAAACUUCAACAAUAGAGAAUAGAUAUUUGAUGUAAACACGUGAGCGACAGUAGUAUAACUUAAGUAUAAGUAUUCAUACACGUGUUAACUAGGAACAUUCUCAGAUAUUGACAAAAUGGUGGCUCUGAUCUUAAAAAUUAACAUGUUUGUACAAAGCCAUGUCUGUUCUGUGAAACUUUGAGAAUUUUGGUUCUUAGUUGUAACAAAUUUGAGAAGUAAUUCAAUCGCAUCGUCAAUGUCAUUGCAUAACAAAUUGACUUGUUUGGGAAUGCAGGACAUGAGCUAAGCUGGGCUAAGAAAUAUGAUCAAGCAAAGUCGAACUACAGAGGGGAAAGAAAAAAAACAAAAAAAAAAAACAAUUACAUUGCCAGGUAAAUGUCAGAAAUAUAAGCUAUUGUUUGAAUACGCCACAGAAAGCAAAGUUAAAGUGUAAUUAGUGCAGGAAAAAAAACUAUUACAAAGAAAGGAAAGAAGCAAUGUGUAACUUAAUAAGGAUCACAUUUUAACAUAAAUAUGUAACAAAUUAAGUUUCACUCCAUCUCUUUAAUUUUCAUUAGCUUACUACAAAAUAGUCUCAGAGGAAUUUCAAUAUUCGUUUUCACUAUUUCUUAGAAAAUGAAAGCUAGCAAUGAAUGAGCCUAAAUGUGUAGUUCCAUGUACUGAACAUAAACAACUAAACAUGGGGAAUAAAAUACAAAUUUAAAUUGAACACUCCAGUAAUUUGUAGAAAGAUAAAACUGGCACGUUUGUUUCAGUCCAGUGAGCCAAUAAAGGCACACACACACAAAAUAGUUUUAAUAAUCAGAUUUACAAUUCAGAAUCAUUUGACCUCAGCAUUUAGUCCUGUAUCCCUGAUCAUGACUAAGCUCCAAGUAACUUUUUAUAGUCAAGAUUGCUUUCACCUAUUCAAGCAUAAACAAAGUUUUUUGUAGUCCCCAAUUUUUUUCCCUAUUCAAAGAACGAUACCAAGAAUUCUAACCAAAUGAAUUCUUCGAUGUUGAAGUGAAUGACAGCAAGCUGGUAAAGUCUGAAUCUGUUUUGAGAUUUCUUUUUGUAGCAGCCAUGACAUGAAGUUUAACAAUUGAACAAAUUACUUCCAGUUGAAUUUGUAAAAAAAAA
rnacentral:sRNA from 1 species